AGAGUUUGAUCCUGGCUCAGAACGAACGCUGGCGGCAUGCCUAACACAUGCAAGUCGAACGAAGCCUUCGGGCUUAGUGGCGCACGGGUGCGUAACGCGUGGGAAUCUGCCCUUGGGUUCGGAAUAACAGUUAGAAAUGACUGCUAAUACCGGAUGAUGACUUCGGUCCAAAGAUUUAUCGCCCAAGGAUGAGCCCGCGUAGGAUUAGGUAGUUGGUGGGGUAAAGGCCCACCAAGCCGACGAUCCUUAGCUGGUCUGAGAGGAUGAUCAGCCACACUGGGACUGAGACACGGCCCAGACUCCUACGGGAGGCAGCAGUGGGGAAUAUUGGACAAUGGGCGAAAGCCUGAUCCAGCAAUGCCGCGUGAGUGAUGAAGGCCUUAGGGUCGUAAAGCUCUUUUACCAGGGAUGAUAAUGACAGUACCUGGAGAAUAAGCUCCGGCUAACUCCGUGCCAGCAGCCGCGGUAAUACGGAGGGAGCUAGCGUUGUUCGGAAUUACUGGGCGUAAAGCGCACGUAGGCGGCUACUCAAGUCGGGGGUGAAAGCCCGGGGC
rnacentral:rRNA from 1 species